AGUGGGGUCCAGAUAGGUCAUACCCAGGAGAUCGCUGGGUGCGUAGCUGUCACCGCAGGCAGGAUUCAGCUGCAUGCAGCCGUCAGGCACAUCAGGAAAUGUGCUUCUGCCUAAAGGUGUGUUUGAGAAUUAUGAGAGCCUUCAAUUCUCAUACCAGACUACACCCACACAAGUCAAUUCCAGUUCCAAAUGACUAAAGGUCAUGUGAAUGGCAAAAAGUAACAGAGUAGUCUGAAAUGAUUAGAAGAUCCAUGGGAAUGGAAGCUUUCAGAAGGAGGAAGGGUCAGGUCUGUCUUGGAGAACUCAUCCCCAUAGAAGCAAGAGGGAGGCUGUUCCAGUAACUCUUGUGGGAGGUCUAGCUGGGAAGCCAUCAUUGGCAGCACCGCACUCCCCCUGUUCCCAGACAGGAUUUCAGCCCAUUACAAGGACUAGCUCAGCUCCUGCCUCUGGUGCUUUGGUCUGCUAGAAAACUCAGACAUCAAUAAGGCAGUUAAGUUUGUAUAUUGAAUCAUGCAAAGUAUGGAUUAUGCAAAACAGCCCAGCUGUAAUUUCGAGUGAAAGGAGAGACAGGUCAACACUUUGCAGGACUUUACAGGACAGAACUCUAAGCACUGCAAGAGAUCCUGACACCAGUGAAUGAGUCCAUGCAGCAGAUCAUAAACACAUCACCAAGUCAUGAUAUUGGAACAUCACUUCCUGCCGAUACCUAAAUAUUAAUGUAAGUGAAACCUGAAGGGGUUGCUUUUAGUGUGUGGUGAAUGUUGCAUCGUCACCAGGUGACCAAUGUUGGUUUUUUUUUAAUCAUUGAAUGUGCUCCUUUAUCAAAGUGCCUUUGAGAUAAGUAGAAGUAAGGCUUGAGGUGAUUUGUAUAAAUCCUGACAAUGGCCUGAGGUGGAAUUAUCGUGGGCUUAAGGACAUACUGAGAGAGGUAUUGAGACAUGGGAUGCAGCUGAGCAAAGGUAGAUACGAAUAGUGUAAGCAGUGAUAACUGAACUACUCACCAUAGCACAAGGUACUAAGAGUACAAUUCACCUUCUCCUAAAUAUCUGAGAUAGUUAGGAUGAACCAGAGCCUGCGGGUGCUGUUUCUUCCCAUCUGCUACUAGGGGGGUGUGAAUGAGCAGCUGAUGUGCAGCUCUCUGCCGCCAGGUGUGACAAGGUGAGCUCUGCUCCCAGAGCCUGCUGAAAAGGCCUGAGUGCCCUCCCCUCUGCAAAACAUGGUCGAGAUGAAAGAAGGUAUGAGCAAACAUUCAGUGCUGCAGAAGUUAGUGCUUUAGUCUGGACUGCUACAAGCAGAAUUCUUCUGUUGGUCAAGAAUCAUUAAAUAAAAGUGGUAUGUAAAGGAUCAGCAAUAAUUAUUGAUAAUAAGCAUCAAGACUAUCAGAGAUACUCCAUAGAGAAAUAAGUCACAAAAAUAAAAUAGAAGCUGCUUUGCACUGCAACAUCAGUACCCCAGGCUGUACUCAUAACAGUCUUUAAUCACCACCUUCACCAUGUCCAUUUGUAACUCAUACUUGUUGAAACGUUACGCUUGCCUUUUGCUUAGGGCCUGGUUUUCUGAAGUGCUGAGCAUCCUCAUCUCACAUCAACAUCAACACGUUGUAGACUUUUACCUAGGGAGAGAUGAAAUAUAGCACAUAAUGUUUCAUAUCGCAUAGGUGUGGAAGGCUGUGAAUCAAGGAAACAAUUGCUUUUAAAUAAAUUAUGUGCAAAUAGAAAAGUGAUAACGUAAUGCAUGAUUUGAGAGCAAAAGCCCAGCUCCUGUGAAUUCAUUUUAGUAACAGUGAAGAGUGAUACCACUAAGAAUGCUGUUCUAUGGAGUCAGUUGGCAUCUCCAUUGUAUAACGUGGAUUGCUGGAGGUGGUAUGUCUGCCAGUUCAAGUCAUACUGAGCUGCAAUUUAGUGUGAAAAAAAAUAAGAAUUUUUAAAUUGCUGAAGUGAUGGAAUUUCUCUCUUCUCUCUCUGCAUCACAAACAAAACAGAAUUUAGAUUUUAUGAAUUAUUGGCCAACUCUCUUAUCAUUAACACCUUCCUUUUAUUUGAAUGGAUAAUAGGAAAGGAAGAUGAAGAUAAGCUAGCUCAACAUUUAAAAGAUUUGCUCAGCGCAGACAGUCCUUUCUUUCCACAAGAUUUUUUGCUGCAAAAUGAGAAAUACAUUACAAGCCUGAAUUAACCAUAAUAUUAACAGAAAAACAGUACAGACAAUUUGUAACAAAUGCUUAAGUAAGCAUAUCCUUCAAAAAAGAGGUGUCAUGAAAAACAUUAGAAGUGAAACUUGCUUGCACCAAAGCCUACGCUUGCAUUUCCAUUGACUCCAGACUGAGAAGAACUUAGAUCCUGGGAAGUUCAGUUCAAAAAUAGUUGUCUUUGUGUCAGUGAGUCUAGGAUUGUGGGCUCUAUGACUUUCCACAUGAAUGCUAAAGGGAGUAAAAUGCUACAAAUCCCUGUUUCUGAAAUGAUACAUGGAAAUAAAUUACAGUUAUAUGAGUUUUAGAGUCCUACCAAAAUUUCUGGGUUACCACAUCUGCAGUCCUACAAAAGGUAGAUCUUCCCAGGUUCUUGUUAAAUCUGACUUAGAGAAGCAGCUCAGGACCCAUUUCAGUGUUUGUUAUCAGCUUUUUCAAGUAUUUCAGUUACGAUUACUAGCUAUAGAAGGUCUGAAACUCUUUGUUUUGGCUGUAUACAGAAUUUUCCAAAUUCACUGUUUGUAAUCUAGAACUAAAGACUGAUUUAUCCGGGCAUUUUCAAAUAAGUUGGUUCAAAAUGUGUCUGUCAAUUUAUUGACCUGUAAGAGCUUCCCAAAGUUGAUUCUGGUUUGGCCUGGUAAAUAACCAGCCUUUCUAAAUUCUCUGAUGUUUAAAGAUAGUGGCAAGGUGGUUUGGUCAUGCAUUUCUAUAAUGUAAGUAAGAAGUAAGCAAAUUUCUUUCUUUUUCCUCUCUUGUGUGCUUUAUUCACAUUUUUUCAUUGCUUGAGAUGUCUACAGCUUUAUACAGUUUUGAACAGGACUGAAUAUACAGUUGCCCACUUUUGAGCUACUGCUAAAUGGAAUUCAGCAUGUUGUAUGUUGUAUGGGUUGGAGAACAGCAGAGUUGCUCGGGGGAGUGAGGGGAAUCAGGUGUGCUGCUGACAUGCUGUCUGCUCCAAAGAUGCUUGAACCCUGCUGUCCUGAGCAUGGGAGCGCUCAUGGAAUUGGAGGAAGGUUCCUUGUUCUCAUGUCCAGCGAACAGCAGGACUGAAAACCCUCUCUGUAGGCUCCUCCCAAAGCCAUGCACCACUACUCCUGCAGGCUUAUACCUCUCUUCCCAGUCUGCUCCUGAGUUCUGUCUCUGCUUCUCCAUCUGCUAGCUUUUUUCUACAUAAAUCCCUGCCCCAAACAAGAUCAACAAUGCUCCCCACCCAGAUCUUUUAAAUUCCUGAGCAACCUUGUAUUCACCUUGUGUAGGGCAGAAACAUGUGCUGAACUGCUUCUUACAGCUCAGAAGAGAUGUGCGGUGGUUAAUCCUACCAUUUUCAACUAGGCUGAACUCAGCUUAUAACAAAACCAUCGGUAAAAAUGUAACCACUUCACAACUGUGUAUGUGUGCAUGUGUAGUAUGUGGAAGGAAUUUGCAAAAGAAUUGGCCAUCUUUCCAUGAAGUUCCAGCAGGAUCCACAAUCAGAAUGAGGACUCAGUUCAGUUCAUUUGCGAGUUUCAUAUAGGAAGAAGUGUGUAGUUCUUAGUGAUUUAUUCUGUUGGAACUAUAGAUUCUGGUGCCCUUAUGGUUUCUUCUUCAGACAUCAAGCCCCACCAUUUUGAUUCUGAACUGGCCCAAUCUAAACACUAGAUUGGGAGCCAGAGAGGCCACAGUAGUUGUUAAGUUUAGUCAGUCAGCCAUACACAUCUUCUGGGCUGGAACCAGCUUCCACCUGGCCAGUUUGGAGGAGUGUCUGCACUUCUCUCAGUUCACAGACUAACCUGGAUUAGCAAGCCUUUGCCUUCCUGAGAUCAUGGCAUUUGGAAUGGUUGAAUUACCUAGGGAGGUCUCUCUACUGAUGCUUUGCCAUAACAAAAACUCUGUUAUGUUCUGCUCACAAAUGCAUAAAAUAGUGCUUAUUGAACUUGAAUGUGUCAUAUAUGUGAACCCCAAAUUAUGCUGAUGUUGAUGAUCUUAAUAAGACAGCAUUUUAUGCUCUGAAAGGGCUUGUGCAUGAUGCAUUCUGUGGUCACUUGGAGGUAGGAGUUCUGUGAUGCAGUGUGGUCUCCCAUCAGCAGCAGGCAUGUUGAGCAAGGGAAGGGAAUGGUUAGGAGGCACUCCAUAACCUGACAUCUUCUUAAAGAGUUUAUAUUAAGGUGAGUUAUCACACAUAGCCAACUCUAAUCCCUUCUAAACGAAGGUUCUGUUUAUAGAAUAUCCAGGUCAGGAUUAUAAAUCUCUGAACAAAUCACAGGUAUAAUUAAAAGGAAUAAUGCCAAUUUUAUUUUCUAGUCGAUCUCUGUACUCCUUGGACUUCUCACAGAUAAAUACAGAUAGUAUCUCUGUGAACUAAUAGUAACUUGUUCGUUAUAGCACCUUUGAUUUUACCACUAGAUUGAAAUACAUACUAGUAUUAAACAUUGUAUAUAGUAUAACAAAGUGGUUAAUUCUUUCAGUUUUGCACUGCUGUGUUCAAUGGAGCUUUAGAAGUAUUUCCAAAGAAAUUUCCAACCUUCAUUUACUCUUUGUAGAUAAAUUUGUUUUGCCUUUUUCAUGCCAUUUUUGUGGUCAGUUUCGAGCAGUCAUCUUCAGUUCACCAAUGAGAAUUUCACAGGAAUGGAGGGGUUUCUCAAUGUGUCAUGGAAUUUUUGAAGAACAGGAUCUAUUUAAUCUUUGUCAUAUUACUUUGCAACAAAAACCUGAUUCUGAGAGAUAAGAAAAGACGACAGGACAGAGGGGAGCACCACAUGACCUAAUCUUACAUUUAAAGAGGUAGCACAUUCAUUUUAAAUUGAAUAUUUGUUAACGACUCCUUGUAAGGUGUUCAGAAAAUAACAAAGAUAACUUUACAAAGCAGAGCUUUACUGAGAGGGAAAAAAAUGGAAAAAGAUAUUAUGUCUUAGUAGGGUUAACAGGAACAUAUAUAUGUUCUAUCAGUAAAGCCAAUUACUGUAGUCAGUACAGUCAGUGGUACUUAACUAGUAGAUAUCUGGCAUAGUUAAAGGUAGCUUGUAACCCACUUACACAGUAAAGAGUAAGACUAGUACAGAAAUGUUCAAUUCUUUCAAUUAAAGCAUUUUAUCAAAUGCAGUAAACCAGUAUAUAACUUUGCUUUGAGAAAAAAGCCAAGAUGGAAAAAGGAUAAUUAUACUGUUCAGGUAAAUAACAUUUUCCUGACAGGAGUCCAAGUUAUAUUAAAAAAAAGAAAAAAGAAAAAAAAAAGGCUACCUUUCUUAGUUUCUAUUUUCCACUGGAGGUGUAGGGAAAAAUGCAUAUAGAAGUUUUUUUUUUUUUUUUUUUUUUUUUCCCUCAGUAUUUGGUGGUCCUUCCUUAAAACUUUUAAAACCAAAGCCAUUUCUCACAUCUGGUUGGAACACAGAUCUUUAAGCCAUUCAAGUAAUUCAAAUCACAUGUAAAAAUCUAAGCUACAGUGUAUGAAAUUCAAGAACAAUGUAGUUCUUACAGGGUCUGCAGUGUGCCACCUCUUUUAAUCAAUAACAGCCUCAGUUCAGUUUAUCUGUAAAUACAAGACUGCAGUUAAGAAUGAUCUACUGCAUUAUUUCAGUACUGAGAAUAGCAAGUUACCAGAUUAGUGACACUUUACAACUAUAAUAAUCUUAUCCCUGUACUCUAGAUGAAGUUCACAGCAAUACAGACUGUAUCAGAUUAUAGUUCCAAUGGAAAAUAUUGAAGAUCACUAAUAUCAAUACACAUUUCCUUAUCUCAACCAUUUGUAACUGCUUGUAUUGACUUUCAUUACAUUCCAGCAGUUCUGCUUAUUCCCAAAUGGUAGUCAUUAAUUUCCAUUAACUAAGGCACAACUAUACAUAAUUUAAAUUGUUUCCAAUAAAUGUUCAAUUAAUGUCUGUUAUCUGCAUUUAAUUUCCAUCGAUUCCAAAAAGCUACUGUUGAGCUUAAUUGCCACCAUAAUUAAAACAGUUUACCAUGAGCGUAAUUGGGUCUCCAUUAAUACCAAUGGACAGCUACAAGGACUGAUUACUCUCUUACUGUCAAGCAGUAGGGAGCAGUGCUACACAGAGAUCGCAGUGCAAAUGAAUGGCUACAAACCCAAACAGCUGCGGCUGAAGUUGACCAGAGAACAGUAUUUACCACAGCAACAAACGCAUGCUUUUCUAGGAUACCGGUCCAGAUGGCCAGAAAAUAUUCUAGAGGUUUCCUUAAGCUUAGUAUGGGAGAAAAAAAGUGAAUUACAUCAGACUGUUGAAAGUAGCACGGUAUCCUGGCUUGAAAUUUGUUCCACUUCAAAUAAAAGUGACAGCUGACAAAGGGAAGUUCUAGACCAACAGAAAAAUGGGUGCAACUCAUUUAAUCCUUUUUUUUUUCCCCCUAUAAGUUUGUCUGUUCAAAUACAGUGCCUGACCAAGAACUGGGGAGAAAAAAAUAAUAAAAGAAUAAAACCUCUACCUAUAGGACUGCUUCAGAUUGUUGGGGGGUGCUAUAGGUCCAUAGCAAUAGCUUAAAUUCAAUGAGAGUAGAUCACUUUAACAUAUUGUUAGGUAUUCUAUAUACAAGUCAGCUACAUUUAGAAUCUCAGAAAUUGCCAAUUCAUGAGAACAAAACAUCUGCUUAAGAGCGAUGAUCUUGACUAAUGUUCCCUUUGAAGAGAUAAACAAAAGAAUCAGCUUGCUGAAAAUUAAAUGUUACUACAUUUUCAGAAUGACAUUUUCAAUUUUGCAUUGCAAAAUGUUUUUUUCCUGUUUUCCAUACUAUUUCAAAUUGAGAUCUAAAUGGAAUAUUUUCCUUUUAUUCAAAUCACUUGAUUGACCAACAAGUAUUUUAUUCAUAAUCAUGCUUUGUAAUGGCUUUCUGGAUUGUUUUAUUGCUUUAAUUAGGAGUGGAAGUAAAAUUCACCCCUAAGACAUUGCCUGAGAUGAAAAGUCUGGAUUUCGCUGGGCUUCAGCUAGAGUACUUUUUCGCUAGCUUCACUUUCUGAAUAUAUUCAAAGCCUUGUCCAAAGUAGAGUUCAUUAAAAUAGACCAGCAUUAAAUCAUGGAGGGCAGAGCUUUGGUGUCAAGAAAUCUGUCUUACAAAGGAAAGAUUGCUGCCUUCUAGCUACAAAUACUCUUAUAAGGUCUGCACUGCCAGUCAGAAAGGACCUCCAAGCUAGUCCUGUGCUAAAGUUGUCACACAUCCCACACUGUACUAUGGUCAGACCUCUUGUCUACUAUGAAAUGAAAGUGAGUAUGGCUUUUCCUAUAUUUUUAUUGCAGCCUACUGUUUUUUAACAGUUCUGCAUUUGCAUGGCAAAUACAACAGAUGUUGAUUUGGGGCUGGAGUGCUUUAAAUUACCAUUGGACCUAAAAGUCCCAAAAUUUGAAGACAAUCCUGAUAGCUAUAUAUAAUGAACUGUUAUUCUAUUGUAAUGAAUGUUAAUCGUUUAACACCAAGUUAUCACCACAAGAAAAUGUGCGACUACCUCCACUGUUCCACUUGUACCCUCUUGUAUCUGUACUGCCCACCCAAAGACGGAGAAAUCCUGUAGACUUGACAAUCCUACUAUCCUAUAGACCUGAAAUCAAUAGUGUCAGGACAUCCCUGCUUGCAGCAGUUGUAAUGUGGCUAAUACACAGUCAGGAUGUGCUCCUACAUAGCAGGCAUCACUGUGCACCCACUCCUUCCAGUCCCUGCAACACCAUUGAGCUCCUAAUUAGAGAAGUUCACCUCAUACAAGAGUGUGAGCUGCCAUAGCAUUAGGUACAAGGUGGUACCUGGGGGUGAGGAAAAUUCCAAUUCCGUGUCCUCCUUUCUCAUUUAUGAGAGAGUUCUUAGGGUGGAAUAAAUUAAACAAAGGAAAUUAUGUUAUCAAAUCAGUUAAAUUUAUCUGUAUAUCCUUUCUGGUGCCAUAAAAGGUGACCGUUUUUCGAUCUUCAAAUGAAAUUUGGAGCAUAACUGAAAGAACAAAUUGUAAAGACUGGAGUUUUGUUUUGGAAAAUACCUUGCUACCAAUAUCUUGCAAAUAAAGAAUGUAAGCUCAAACAGAAUGAUGACCAAAUGGCUAAGACCAUAGUAUCAGGGCCUCAACAGCUUACCCUGUAAUUGCAUGGCAGCUAGAAAAGGCUGAAGUAGGCAGACAGUUGCCACAUCUCUGCUAUUCUGCUACAAAGGAAGAAGAGCAGAGAGGUGUGUUUUUUGUCUUGGGAAAAAUCAAAUUGCUAUCUCAGCUGUUGCUUUCCGUAUUGCCUCUACAUCAGAGAAAAACCAUACUUCCUUGUGUCCACUGUUCAGUUACUCAUCCCACUAAGGAGUAAGCAAGGAGAGAGGAAGAAAAAAGGACAAGUAAAAGGCUGAACAAGUCAGUGAUCAAGUGAGCCUUUGUUUUGAAGGCAGACACACAAUCUAAGGGGCAAUACUCCAUCUACAUCGUAGAGAAGGUUCAGCUCUUGAGCAGCUUAGAGCACAUCACUACAGCCAGGUCUCAAGGUGGCAAAGUCUUAGGCAACAGUUACAAACUUUGCAUCUGAAAUAAAAGUGACACCUCUUAAAACCAAACCCAGAUGUUGAGGGUAAUGGGCUACAGGAAUAUCUAGGAAGUGCUGAGCCUCUCAGGCAGCCCUGACAUGCAAACAUGCAUAACAAGGAGUUUAUGCACAUUCUGUAGAGGACUGAUACUGUAAAGAGCUGAUGCAAAGAACUGAACAAAGGAAACCAUUGUGAUACACAAUAAAGAAGGAAUUAUCUUGGUCUCUUGGAGAACUGUCUCUUGAAACCUUAUCUAUUAACUACUUACAUAGACACAGAUAUCAGCAGUGAUGGAUACUACCUGUUCUUCCUUCUGAUUCUUUCCCUUUCAUGCCAACAUUACAUCUGCCAGUUCAGGUCUAAGUCUUUCCAGCUAGCUCUCUUUCAAGAUUCUGUGUCAGCAAGUCUUCUGUGAGGCACCCUCCAGCAAUUUAGCAUAUAAGAUGAGAGCUGUGUGGUUUCUGGAACAUUAGAGUUUACACAUCUAAUCGCUCAGGUAUUCCUGAGCACAUUUAGCAAGAGAUCUGACAGUUAACAUCUAUCUAAAGGACUUGGUCCUUAGAGAGGAUGUUCACUGUUUCACACCAGAAUCUCUCAGAAAGGAGUCGAGUCUCUGCUUGGCAAUGGCAUUUAUCCCAAGUACUGACUGAUAAUGUGCCAUCUAUAUUUCAUACAGUUCCUCUGUAAUAAUCAACUGAUAAUGCAAGUAAACUUUAUUUCUAGAUCUUC